rnacentral:rRNA from 1 species
UACGUAGGCAGCAAGCGUUGUUCGGAGUUACUGGGCGUAAAGGGUGUGUAGGCGGUUCUUUAAGUUUGGUGUGAAAUCUCCCGGCUCAACCGGGAGGGUGCGCCGAAUACUGAGGGACUCGAGUGCGGGAGAGGAAAGUGGAAUUCCUGGUGUAGCGGUGAAAUGCGUAGAUAUCAGGGAGGAACACCGGUGGUGUAGACGGCUUUCUGGACCGGUAACUGAC